GCGCUCGCGCGCCGUACCGCAGCCCUUUUGGGCUGCUGGCGCUCCGCGAGGGCGCGGCAUAAGCCGCGACGGCCGGUCGGCCUUGCGAGGCUUCGCCUCGAGGUCAACAGCUCGUUACUGGCAGAGCGCGGUCUUUAGGGCUUGUAGCUCAGUUGGUUAGAGCGCGCGCUUGAUAAGCGUGAGGUCGGAGGUUCAAGUCCUCCCAGGCCCACCAUCUCCUUGAUGUCUGCCAUCUUCUUGGUGGUUCUAUCAGGAACACAAUCAGGGGCCGUAGCUCAGCUGGGAGAGCGCCUGCUUUGCAAGCAGGAUGUCGUCGGUUCGAUCCCGUCCGGCUCCACCAUCUUCCCUGGAAGAGGUGUCGAGUAGAGAUGUGGUGAAAAAAGUCAUUCGUAUAAAGGUUUGUGGUGAGCUUCUUGGCUUGCCGCUUGUUCUGUUUGACAUCGUAAAGAGAAGAUUUGUUCGAACUUCAUGGGCUGAAAGGCUUCAUGAUUUGUCGCAAGGGACGCUCAAUCCCUUGCAUAUGAUGGGUUUGCCUAACCGCGCCCUCGAACCGAUCUCGAGAAGCUGGUCUUUUUGUGCCAAU
rnacentral:tRNA from 1 species